UACGGGGGGGAGCAAGCGUUUGUUCGGAUUUACUGGGCGUAAAGGGCGCGUAGGCGGCCACUGCAAGUCAGUUGUGAAAUCUCCGGGCUUAACCCGGAAAGGUCAACUGAUACUGCAGGGCUAGAGUGCAGAAGGGGCAACUGGAAUUCUCGGUGUAGCGGUGAAAUGCGUAGAUAUCGAGAGGAACACCUGCGGCGAAGGCGGGUUGCUGGGCUGACACUGACGCUGAGGCGCGAAAGCCAGGGGAGCGAACGGGG
rnacentral:rRNA from 1 species